UACGAAGGGGGCUAGCGUUGCUCGGAAUCACUGGGCGUAAAGCGCACGUAGGCGGCUUCUUAAGUCAGGGGUGAAAUCCUGGAGCUCAACUCCAGAACUGCCUUUGAUACUGGGAGGCUCGAGUCCGGGAGAGGUGAGUGGAACUGCGAGUAUAGAGGUGAAAUUCGUAGAUAUUCGCAAGAACACCAGUGGCGAAGGCGGCUCACUGGCCCGUAACUGACGCUGAGGCACGAAAGCGUGGGGAGCAAACAGG
rnacentral:rRNA from 1 species